GACGAACGCUGGCGGCGUGCUUAACACAUGCAAGUCGAACGGAAGGGCCCUGCUUUUGUGGGGUGCUCGAGUGGCGAACGGGUGAGUAACACGUGAGUAACCUGCCCUUGACUUUGGGAUAACUUCAGGAAACUGGGGCUAAUACCGGAUAGGAGCUCCUGCUGCAUGGUGGGGGUUGGAAAGUUUCGGCGGUUGGGGAUGGACUCGCGGCUUAUCAGCUUGUUGGUGGGGUAGUGGCUUACCAAGGCUUUGACGGGUAGCCGGCCUGAGAGGGUGACCGGCCACAUUGGGACUGAGAUACGGCCCAGACUCCUGCGGGAGGCAGCAGUGGGGAAUAUUGCACAAUGGGCGGAAGCCUGAUGCAGCAACGCCGCGUGCGGGAUGACGGCCUUCGGGUUGUAAACCGCUUACGCCUGUGACGAAGCGUGAGUGACGGUAAUGGGUAAAGAAGCACCGGCUAACUACGUG
rnacentral:rRNA from 1 species